GGAAAGAAUUAAUUUCCGAAGUUUGCGGGCUGCCUCCGGGCGCCCAACCUCCCACCCGUGACUACCUAACACUGUUGCUUCGGCGGGGAGCCCCCCAGGGGGCGAGCCGCCGGGGACCACUGAACUUCAUGCCUGAGAGUGAUGCAGUCUGAGUCUGAAUACAAAUCAGUCAAAACUUUCAACAAUGGAUCUCUUGGUUCCGGCAUCGAUGAAGAACGCAGCGAACUGCGAUAAGUAAUGUGAAUUGCAGAAUUCAGUGAAUCAUCGAGUCUUUGAACGCACAUUGCGCCCCCUGGCAUUCCGGGGGGCAUGCCUGUCCGAGCGUCAUUGCUGCCCUUCAAGCCCGGCUUGUGUGUUGGGUCGUCGUCCCCCUCGGGGGACGGGCCCGAAAGGCAGCGGCGGCACCGUGUCCGGUCCUCGAGCGUAUGGGGCUUUGUCACCCGCUCGAUUAGGGCCGGCCGGGCGCCAGCCGGCGUCUCCAACCUUUUUUUCUCAGGUUGACCUCGGAUCAGGUAGGGAUACCCCGCUAAACUUAAGCAUUUCAAAUAAGCGGAGGAA
rnacentral:misc_RNA from 1 species